AUUGAACGCUGGCGGCAGGCCUAACACAUGCAAGUUGAGCGGACGAAGGGAGCUUGCUUCUGGAUUCAGCGGCGGACGGGUGAGUAAUGCCUAGGAAUCUGCCUGGUAGUGGGGGAUAACGUCCGGAAACGGGCGCUAUUACCGCUUACGCCCCGAGGGCGAUAGUGGGGGAUUUUUGGACCUCACGCAAUCACAUUCGCCUAGGACGGAUUAGCUAGUUGGUGGGGUAAAGGCCUACCAAGGCGACGAUCCGUAACUGGUCUGAGAGGAUGAUCAGUCACACUGGAACUGAGACACGGUCCAGACUCCUACGGGAGGCAGCAGUGGGGAAUAUUGGACAAUGGGCGAAAGCCUAAUCCAGCCAUGCCGCGUGUGUGAAGAAGAUCUUCGGAUUGUAAAGCACUUUAGGUUGGGAGGAAGGGCAGUAAGUUGAUACCUUGCUGUUUUGACGUUACCAACAGAAUAAGCACCGGCUAACUUCGUG
rnacentral:rRNA from 1 species